rnacentral:rRNA from 1 species
CCCUACGGGGCGCAGCAGGCGCGAAAACUUUACAAUGCGGGAAACCGUGAUAAGGGAACUCCGAGUGCCCGUUAAAUCGGGCUGUCCAUCUGUGUAAAUAACGGGUGAAGAAAGGGCCGGGCAAGACCGGUGCCAGCCGCCGCGGUAAUACCGGCGGCUCGAGUGGUGGCCACUAUUACUGGGCUUAAAGCGUUCGUAGCUGGUUUGUUAAGUCUCUGGGGAAAUCUUCCGGCUUAACCGGAGGGCGUCUCAGGGAUACUGGCAGACUAGGGACCGGAAGAGGUGAGGGGUACUCCAGGGGUAGGAGUGAAAUCCUGUAAUCC